rnacentral:rRNA from 1 species
UUUAUGGAGAGUUUGAUCCUGGCUCAGGAUGAACGCUGGCGGCGUGCCUAAUACAUGCAAGUCGAGCGAACGGACGAGAAGCUUGCUUCUCUGAUGUUAGCGGCGGACGGGUGAGUAACACGUGGAUAACCUACCUAUAAGACUGGGAUAACUUCGGGAAACCGGAGCUAAUACCGGAUAAUAUUUUGAACCGCAUGGUUCAAAAGUGAAAGACGGUCUUGCUGUCACUUAUAGAUGGAUCCGCGCUGCAUUAGCUAGUUGGUAAGGUAACGGCUUACCAAGGCAACGAUGCAUAGCCGACCUGAGAGGGUGAUCGGCCACACUGGAACUGAGACACGGUCCAGACUCCUACGGGAGGCAGCAGUAGGGAAUCUUCCGCAAUGGGCGAAAGCCUGACGGAGCAACGCCGCGUGAGUGAUGAAGGUCUUCGGAUCGUAAAACUCUGUUAUUAGGGAAGAACAUAUGUGUAAGUAACUGUGCACAUCUUGACGGUACCUAAUCAGAAAGCCAUGGCUAACUACGUGCCAGCAGCCGCGGUAAUACGUAGGUGGCAAGCGUUAUCCGGAAUUAUUGGGCGUAAAGCGCGCGUAGGCGGUUUUUUAAGUCUGAUGUGAAAGCCCACGGCUCAACCGUGGAGGGUCAUUGGAAACUGGAAAACUU